AUGAUGAGGAAGACCCAAAAAAGGGGGAGCUGCAGCUCAAGCCGCCUUGUGAUUUCCAUCAGAAUGAAUUCACACGACGAGUCUGUCCCUUCCCUGAGAGCCCCCCCUGCCGCCACGGUCCCAUGCCCCCAGGACGACCCCCAGGUCAAACCCCAAGUCCCUGGCCGGUCCAAGCCCUGGCCUCCGGAGCUGUGCCGCUGACAAAUCGGAGCCGCCCCCAUGAGCGCAGGAAAUGCGGAAAGGCGGCCUCAGCCGGUGCUGGGCUGCAGGGGCAAGCGGGUUGCGAAGUGCCCACGGCCACAACUCCCCCGGAGAGACCGGGGAGGCUGAGCGCCCUUGAGUGCUCCAGGCAAGUGCACGAGUGGCUAUAGCUGUCCUGCUGCGACUACCUUACCUGGGGCAGCCCCCAAUAGUCCUGGCAGAGCUUCCCUUCGGGCAGCACUGCCGUCCCCACAGCUGGGCUAUUACAACCCCUUCUACUUCCUGAGUCCUGGACCGCGGGCCCUGACCCGGGGAUAGCUGCAGGCAUCAGCACCUGGGCUCCAGUGGCAGGCCUGGGACCCCGGGCUUUUCAUGUGCAGGCGUCCCUGUGGGCCAGUCCGUUGAUGAAGGUAGAAUCCACAGCCCCUUCCUGAAGCCUGAGACCGGGCAACAGGCAGGCAGAGAAUGUUAUUCCAUCCUUGGUCCACCAUGGUGAAUUUCUUUAUUCUCUUCUUUGAAAAAGCAGCCAUUGUCUUAAGCAUUAUGCACCUCAGUGGGAUAAGGGAUAUCUCUAGGUGUGCUAUGCAUUAUAUAAUGGAAAACAUAGAUAAAGACACAUCAAUGGAAGACUUGCAGAAAAUGAUGGUUGUGGCUCUUAUAUACAGAUUGUUAGUUUGUUUCUAUGAGACAAUUUGCAUCUGGGGAGCAGGUGGAGCUACCCCAGGGAAGUUCGUGGUGGGGCUUCGAGUUGUGACAUGUGAUACAUUAGUGCUUAUUGCACUAAGUCGGGUUUUAGUGAUUCCUUCCUCAAAUGUUAGCAUUACAAUGUCCACUACAUGAGCUUUGAUCAAGAAUUUUUCGAUUGCUUCUUUUUUCCCUGCUUGCAUCACACUGCUGUUUUUUCAGCAUAAUCAAACAGCCUAUGAUAUUGUGGCAGGAACCACUGUGGUAAAAAGAAAUGGGGUCAGAUGAUGCCCCCAAAGCCCUGAUUUCCACACGUUAUAAUGACAAGACUAAAUUGUGUAUCAAGGCCAUCAGUAUCCCUGGGUUACACUAAUUAAUGAUUUAGAAAUUAAAGCAGUCACUCCAGUGUGAUGCAGGUCACUACUCUGAAAGUGUAUUGAUUUUACUUAAAUGCCAAAGAACUUUUCCAGAAGAAAAACCUAUUAAAUUCAAAUAUUAAAAUUUGUAGAUAAAAAAUGCAAAUGAUGUAUAAACAAUGGACAAUAUAUACUUUAAGAUCUACGGUACUUUCUUAAGAUCUAAGAAUUUGCUGAAAGCAUUUUCAGCUUUGAAAUCUCCGAAUGAAACUUCAAAAUUUGGUUUAUC